AGUGAACGCUGGCGGUAGGCCUAACACAUGCCAGUCGAACGGCAGCACAGUAAGAGCUUGCUCUUACGGGUGGCGAGUGGCGGACGGGUGAGGAAUACAUCGGAAUCUACUUUUUCGUGGGGGAUAACGUAGGGAAACUUACGCUAAUACCGCAUACGACCUACGGGUGAAAGCAGGGGAUCUUCGGACCUUGCGCGAUUGAAUGAGCCGAUGUCGGAUUAGCUAGUUGGCGGGGUAAAGGCCCACCAAGGCGACGAUCCGUAGCUGGUCUGAGAGGAUGAUCAGCCACACUGGCACUGAGACACGGUCCAGACUCCUACGGGAAGCAGCAGUGGGGAAUAUUGGGCAAUGGGCGCAAGCCUGAUCCAGCCAUACCGCGUGGGUGAAGAAGGCCUUCGGGUUGUAAAGCCCUUUUGUUGGGAAAGAAAAGCAGCAGGUUAAUACCCCGCUGUUCUGACGGUACCCAAAGAAUAAGCACCGGCUAACUUCGUG
rnacentral:rRNA from 1 species